GUACUGGACAAUGGGUGGAAGCCUGAUCAAGCUAUGCCGCGUGUGUGACGAAGGUCUUCGGAUUGUAAAGUACUGUAUUUUGGGAGGAAGGGCAGUUAACGAAUACUUAACUGUUUUGACCUUACCCAAAGAAUAAGCACCGUCUAACUACGUGCCAGUAGCCGCGGUAAUACGAAGGGUGCAAGCGUUAAUCGGAAUUACUGGGCGUAAAGCGCGCGUAGGUGGUUCGUUAAGUUGGAAGUGAAAGCCCCGGGCUCAACCUGGGAAUUGCUUUCAAAACUGGCGAGCUAGAGUACGGUAGAGGGUGGUGGAAUUUCCUGUGUAGCGGUGAAAUGCGUAGAUAUAGGAAGGAACAUCAGUGGCGAAGGCGACCACCUGGACUGAUACUGACACUGAGGUGCGAAAGCGUGGGGAGCAAACAGG
rnacentral:rRNA from 1 species